UUCGCAAUGCCCGAAAGGGUGACGAAGCGACGCCGCGUGUGGGAAGAAGGCCUUCGGGUUGUAAACCACUGUCGGGAGUUAAGAAAUGCAAGGAUAUUAAUAGUGUCUUUGUUUGACUAAGGCUCCGGAGGAAGCCACGGCUAACUCUGUGCCAGCAGCCGCGGUAAUACAGAGGCGGCAAGCGUUGUUCGGAAUUAUCGGGCGUAAAGAGCACGUAGGCGGCUAUGUAAGUCGGUUGUGAAAGCCUUCCGCUCAACGGAAGAACAGCAUCCGAUACUACAUGGCUUGAGUGCGGGAGGGGAGAGUGGAACUUCUGGUGGAGCGGUGAAAUGCGUAGAUAUCAGAAGGAACGCCGGCGGCGAAAGCGGCUCUCUGGCCCAUAACUGACGCUGAGUGUGCGAAAGCUAGGGGAGCAAACGGGAUUAGAUACCCCGGUAGUCCUAGCCGUAAACGAUGGGCACUAAGUAGAGGGGUUUU
rnacentral:rRNA from 1 species